CGGCCCCCUACGCGAUUCGACGAGCGUCCCGCACCGGUACCGGUUCGCGAGAAAGGGUGGAGCGAUCGCACUCGGAAGGGAUGAUAAUACAAUUUUGGGGUAAAGGCUCAAUUACGUCCGUAUAUAAAAUACAGAUUUCUGCAUGACGGCUUAUUGUCGUAACCGCUACACACCGUCACGGAGGACCCGUCUGCGUAUCAUCACUGUACAGCAGCGACUACGAAGCACUCGAACACACAACAAACUCGACGACUGUAUCACCGGCCGUGCCAUCGCAGAUUCUCUAUCUCCGAUCCGAUUCCACAGAUUGCUGUCCGUCCGAACUAUAACGAGAAUUAAUCAUGUCUUCAAGCUGCACAUCGAAAACUACCGACUACUACUAUCAGAUGAGGCAGAAGAACAACGAGGCGGCCAGAAACAGCCGUUUCAAGAAGAAGGUUGCCGAAAUCGAAAUAUCCGUUCAAAAGCGCAAAUUGGAGGUGACAUACGUGCAGUUGAAGAAAGAAAUUAAACGCAUACAAAUCGUCAAAGCUUCUUAAACAUCAAUCAGGCUUUUUCCGUGAUCAUGGCUGCAAUAUAAAUAAAACAAUUUUUCAACUGGAAAUUUUUAAGUAAAAUAAAUUAUGAAAAUGGAUUCUGUUGAAUUUCUAGUCAAAUACUACAUUGUACAUCACUCAAUAAUUUGACUGUAAUUUCUACAGGAAUGAAAUGCAUAUUAUUUUUUUAUUACCAAUAACUUUUAUGUAAAAAACAAUAUUUUCAGGAUAAAAAUGUACUUUUUACUUUUUAAACUUAUAUAUUUUUAUUUUUAUUAUUAUUAUUAUUAUUAUUACUUUUUCCUAUUAUUAUUAUCUCAUUUUUUUUUUUUUUUGUAGUAGCGUACUUAAAGUGUUUCAUAAUAUUAUUUAUGUAAAAUUAUUAUUUUUAUUACAAACUUUAUUUUCAGAUUUUGUAAAUGUCGGCAUAAUAAUAUAUUAUACACCGUACAGUUAGAUGUAAAAAUAUACAUACCU